rnacentral:lncRNA from 1 species
CGUAAAUCGGCUUUUUCGUACGAUCAUUACAUUUUAGUUUACGUUUACGUUUUGAUUUCAAUCAUAACUGCAAACUGCCUUCGUAGAUUUACUUUAACGUCAUCUCGCUUAAUCUUAAGUUAAAGUAAUCUUAGAAUCGGCUUUUACAUAGAAAUCGUUUUUAUCAAACGAACGCAGCUUUCGGUUUUAAUCGCAGAAAGAUUUCCGCUGCA